rnacentral:tRNA from 1 species
GAGGGUACAGCUCAGGGGUAGAGCUCGUGCUUGGCACGCACGAGGUCCUGGGUUCCAUCCCCAGUGCCUCCA